GACUAUGCCACCCUGAACAAGCCUAAUCCUGUCUGAUCUCAGAAGCUGAGCAGAGUUGGGCCUGGUUAGUACUUGGAUAGGAGACUGCCUAGGAAGACCGGGUAAUAUAGGUG
ensembl:rRNA 5S_rRNA 5S ribosomal RNA